GGGGGCGACUUGGUUUCGACGGAGAUGCUGAACCCCGUGGGGCAUGCCGGGAUGGCACUCUCGUUAAAAAGGCCGACGGCAAUAACUGCCAACGACGACGUAGAACUCGCUUACGCAGCGUAAGUGACCCUGCUGGACAGCUUGCCCAUCGGCUGGCCAGGCAGGGACAUGCAAGAUGGGCUCGCCCUGCUGGUCGGAGGCUCGUGGCCACAGGGUUAAACCAUUACGAACCGACCCGUUGGGCACUUUGUCCAUUCAGUUUCCAACGGGUGCUAUGAGAAUGGACUAAGCAUGUAGAACCACGGGCUGAUGGUUUCCGGACGCGGGUUCGAAUCCCGCCGCCUCCACCA
rnacentral:tmRNA from 1 species